AUUGAACGCUGGCGGCAGGCCUAACACAUGCAAGUCGAACGAGUGGCGGACGUGUGAGUAAUCUCUGGGAAACCGCCCGAUGGAGGGGGAUAACCACUGGAAACUGUAUAUAACACCGCAUACUCUCUGAAGCCCACAGAUGGGAUUAGCUAGUAGGUGGGGUAAUGGCUCACCUAGGCGACGAUCCCUAGCUGGUCUGAGAGGAUGACCAGCCACACUGGAACUGAGACACGGUCCAGACUCCUACGGGAGGCAGCAGUGGGGAAUAUUGCACAAUGGGCGCAAGCCUGAUGCAGCCAUGCCGCGUGUAUGAAGAAGGCCUUCGGGUUGUAAAGUACUUUCAGCGAGGAGGCGUUACUCGCAGAAGAAGCACCGGCUAACUCCGUGCCAGCCGCCGCGGUAAUAC
rnacentral:rRNA from 1 species